rnacentral:tRNA from 1 species
GCCUCCGUAGCUCAACGAUAGAGCAAGAUACUGUUAAUAUUUAGAUGAGUGUUUGAUUCACUUUGGGGGCU